AGAGUUUGAUCCUGGCUCAGGAUGAACGCUGGCGGCGUGCUUAACACAUGCAAGUCGAACGGAGUUAUUUCAUUGGAAGGGAACAGUUUACUGGGACCGGAAGAGGGGAUAACUUAGUGGCGGACGGGUGAGUAACGCGUGGGUAACCUGCCGUAUACAGGGGGAUAACACUUAGAAAUAGGUGCUAAAACCGCAUAAGCGCACAGUGCCGCAUGGCACCGUGUGAAAAACUCCGGUGGUAUACGAUGGACCCGCGUCUGAUUAGCCAGUUGGCAGGGUAACGGCCUACCAAAGCGACGAUCAGUAGCCGGCCUGAGAGGGUGGACGGCCACAUUGGGACUGAGACACGGCCCAAACUCCUACGGGAGGCAGCAGUGGGGAAUAUUGCACAAUGGGGGAAACCCUGAUGCAGCGACGCCGCGUGAGUGAAGAAGUAUUUCGGUAUGUAAAGCUCUAUCAGCAGGGAAGAAACGGAACUAAAGUUCCGAGGACGGUACCUGAGUAAGAAGCCCCGGCUAACUACGUGCCAGCAGCCGCGGU
rnacentral:rRNA from 1 species